rnacentral:misc_RNA from 1 species
GAUGAAGAACGCAGUGAAAUGCGAUAACUAGUGUGAAUUGCAGAAUUCCGUGAAUCAUCGAGUCUUUGAACGCACAUUGCGCCCCCUGGUAUUCCGGGGGGCAUGCCUGUCCGAGCGUCAUUGCUGCCCAUCAAGCACGGCUUGUGUGUUGGGUCGUCGUCCCCUCUCCGGGGGGACGGGCCCCAAAGGCAGCGGCGGCACCGCGUCCGAUCCUCGAGCGUAUGGGGCUUUGUCACCCGCUCUGUAGGCCCGGCCGGCGCUUGCCGAACGCAAAUCAAUCUUUUUCCAGGUUGACCUCGGAUCAGGUAGGGAUACCCGCUGAACUUAAGCAUAUCAAUAAGCGGAGGA